rnacentral:tRNA from 1 species
GGACCCCUAGCUCAGUGGUAGAGCGUGAGAUUCCAGCCUCCAGCGUGAUUCCUCAAGGUCAUCCGUUCAAUCCGGGUGGGGUUCA